UUAAUUAUUGCACAUGAAUUGAAAUUUCUAGAUGGGUAAUUCAGUAAAUCAGAACAUAAUUAGUUAGAGAUGAUAUCUUGGCCGUAGAUUUCAAUCUUGACCAUUUGUUUCCCUUCAGCAUUUUGAUGUUUCACGUUUUAGUUUUUCUCCACUUCACCUCUUCUAAAGGCGUCGCCCACUUUUCCCCUCACGACUUCCGUUUUUGUUUUUCCUUUCAUAGCUUCCGUUUCGUUGCAGCAUAUAUUUCCCUGGCUGUUUCAUACCUUUCAUUUGGUUUUUCAUUCUCUUCUUUGGACAUGAUGCUUACAAGUUCUGGUGUAGGGCUUUUUCCUUUGCUGAAAUCAUCAAUCAAUCAGCUCUCGAAGGAGAAGGGGAAAAAAUCCACGUACAAAGAGCGCGUACUGUUGUGAUUACGGCGAGAGUGAGACCAUAUGGCUUGGUCCUCACUGCUGCUUACUGUUGUAGGAGGAGCAAGCCUUUCAGAUGCACUAAGUCGAUGCUGCCUUUCUCUCUUUUUGGUUCGCUUCUCCUUGAUUCACUCACAGGAACGACUUCCUUUAUAUGGAUUGAAGAAUUUCUUAUAGGCAUUUUUUUAUUUUUAAACUUUUUUUUCAGAUUUAUUUUAUUCUGAUUUGGGGAAAUGAUUACAGGUUCAUGAUUUCAGUGUUUUCUUAAAUUGAAUGAUGGAGUAAAUAUACGGGUAAUUGGUUUUUUUUUCCAGAUUAUGAUAUUGCAGGUUAGAGAAGUGUUUUGAAAAGGAGGGUCCAUGUUAUCCCAGGUGAAAUCUUAACAUUCACAUGAUGUGUUUCAACUUUCAAGUGUUGGGAUUGCAGGCGCUUUUUGAUCUAAGUGGAACACUCAAUGAUGAAGCUGAGACCCAAAAGGCAAGGUAUGGGUGCACUCCUAAUUUUAGUUAUAAGGCACUCUUUUUCUCGGAAGGAAAGGUACUGCUAGCAGAUUAUGUAAUCCUAGCGUACGAUUACCUAUUGAUUCACCUUAUAAAUAUUUGGAGUUUUAUAUUCAAUUUACUCAAGGUUUGAAUUUUUGUCCAA